rnacentral:lncRNA from 1 species
GCUGUUGGGUGGCCCUGGUCAGCUUCGGCUACCAUGCUGCUUCUGGGUUGGUUUGGACUAUUUUCUCCGUGUGUUUGUGAUUUGUUUUUUAGCAGGAUAUCAUAUUUCUUGGCACAUUCUCUGUUUGUUUGUUUGUUUGUUUUCCAGGAAGUCACAUUUGAGCAUUACCAGUGACGGAUCACAUGCUCCUGGCAUCUCUGCCAAAGCUCAUGGUCCAGUGGCUGCAUCCAUGCAAAGUAUCCUCACCUCAGGCUGGCAUGUGCUUCCACAUGCUCCCUUUCCCUUCCCAUGAUUCUGUGCUUACGGAAUGCUAUCAUGCCAUUAUGCCCAGCUUAUACAGUUCUGGGGAUCACACCUGGGGCUAGGGUCCUCUAUGGAGUCAUUCCCCCAGAGUACAGCAGAGUGUACAGAAAACAUAUGGCCCUGGGUCUCCAACUACCAACCAGGUCAUCUCUUGGACUGUCACCUCCUUCCCUGACAGGGGCAGAGGCCCAAGUGGCCUUUGAAGCCAGAAGUAUGGGCUUCAGUCCUUGCUCUGGUGUCCUCUAGUCACCAGGCUUUAGGUAAAGGAGGCAGGUAAGAGCUACCAGCCUGGACUGAACCCCUAUCCUGUGACCUUAGCAUAUUCUUUAGUGUUUUUCAGUGUGUAGUCCACCAUAAUCUACAGCGGCUCUCAGUUCCCUGCUAGCUGACAGUGGCCACCCCUGUGUAGGCUUGCGUGGGCAGGUAUGGGUGUGGGGGUUGUCUUGGCUCCCUAGUCCCAUACCUAUACUUUCUCUACACUCGGGCUAAGAAGAAAUUGCAGCAGGGAGCAAGAGACCCACCCAGUGUACUGACUCUAACCUCAGGGGAUCAAGGGAGCCCUGGCAAAGACCCCGACAUGGAACUCCUUCCUUCCCACAGGCACUGAGUGGAAACUCUGCCUACCUGGAAGCCACCUUCUAGUCACCCCCUAGACCCCAGCAACUGCUGCAUCCUACCUCCCACAGGCUGUCUGUUCAGUGUGGGGCACUGCAGGAUGGGUGGAGCCAAGAGAAAUGGAUUGAUUCAGAGUGCUGAGUUGAGAAAUCUAAGGUCACAAUGAGUAAUGAAGACCAUUAAGUCUAUCCAGAGAGCAGCUAGGCCAAGAAAAUGCGAUUGGUGAUUGAUUGGUGAUGUCUGCUGAGGACGGAGCUGUGUAGAGUGGUCUAGGGUCCUACUAUGUAGCCCUAGCUGUCUUGGAACUUGCUACGUAGACCAGUCUGCCUUCAAGCUCAGAGAUUCUCUUGCCUCUGCCUCUAGAGUGCUGGAAUUAAAAGUGUGCCACU